ensembl:lncRNA
CAGCAGUGACCAGCCUGCAGAGAAGGCAAUACCACUGCAUUCCCCAGGGAACUGAGAAGUGCAGGAAUCUUUCUAAGCUAAAUAGAAUGCAUGAAAAUCACCCUUGCCCUCACAGUUGGAGAUCUCAGCAAGUUGUUGAGCAUAUGCACUUCAUCCUUGGGGUGGAACUCAUCCAUGAAUGUGUCAGGAAAGCUGCCAGAAGCAUCAUCUGUCUCAAGUUCUCAAUGCACCAUUCUGAUCCAUUGGCUCAGCCUUCUGUUAUUGAUGGUGAGAUUGGGACUGGGCUGGGUCUCAAUAACUUUGUGUCAAAGAGUGUUCUCUUUUACAGGUAAGGCCGGCAGGAGUUGUGUGUUUUAUUUCCUUGUUGGUAAUUAAAAUAUCUGGAUCAGUUACAUUACAGGAAGACUUGUUAUGUCGCUCACAGCACCAGAGGUUUGGACCUGCAGGCUGAGGAGGUUUGUUCUGCUGCUGUAUAUAUGCACGACCUGAAUGGGAUGCAAAGUGAGCAGUUAUGAGUGCCUGAGUACACGCGCAUUGAAUCAAAACCUCCUGGAAAAGAACAGUGCCAGGGUGAUGUGUCAGUGUGGGAUCUGUGGUGUGGGUAUGCUGGUGCUGGGCCCUAGCAGCACUCUGAUACUGCAUCCUGUGGGAUGGAGAGGAGAGCUGCUAGAGUUGCACCGAAGAAGCACUACCGAUGCUGAGGAGAACCAUUUUCAAAGCAGGCCAAGAUGGUGUUGCUGAAAACUGGAAGACUCUUAUUUUCUAACAGGGCUCCAGGAAUGCUCCCUGUGGUUGGACUGUGUUGGGGAUCUGGGGGCAUUCAGCAUCAGCUGUGCAUCCAGGAGAUUGCUGACUUCUUCCCAAGGAGCUGAAAUCUCAUUCUUCUCUGUUUUAACGAAGCUUGCUGAUGCCCUUUUCUCUCAUUUGGUAAUCGGCUGAACUUCCUGGGAAAGGAACAGGAAAUGAGUGGAAGGAUCAGAGGCAGCAGAAAGGUGUGAGCUGGGCGACUUGCUGCUGAAAUAGGUGAAGGAGAAGGGUGAACCAGCCCUUCUGCAUUUCCCCUGCAGAAAGCAUUAAAGUGCAUACCUAAAAGAGGUUUCUAAAAGUUCAAGAGGUGAGGAGAAGCACUGGAAUGGAAAUCUCAUAGUGAUGGACCCUCACUGUGACAUUUUGAUGCUCUCUGGAGAGAAAUAUGGGCAUUUUGCUUCUCCCACCUUUGAGCUGAAGUAGUACACCAGCUGAAGUCCUUCACUCUUCUGUAUUUGAAAGGGUUUCAUUUUUGAUAAAGGUUCAGUGUUACAAAGAGAUACCAAAUCUUCAUGUGCCCUGUGCUUCAGCAAAGUACCGAUAACAGCAAUAAACCCCCUAACGUGAGAUGUUCUGGGGUUAUCUCUGAGGAAGGCUCCUCUUCAUUCGGCUGCCAAUUGCAAAUGAACCUAGUUAUAAAAUUUCUCUUUAUUGCCACCUUUCCAUAUCCCUGAGGUUAAUUCUGAAAUAUGCAUGAAAUGUAAUUAGUGCAGAUCCAUUUCUGCCAGCACGUUUUACACAAGUGGCUCCCGGUGGCAGAUCUGGAUGUAUUCAUAAUAAAAUGAUUCAGUUAAAUGUAAU